UUAAGUUCAGCGGGUAUCCCUACCUGAUCCGAAGUCAAACUCUUAAAGAAUUGGGUUCAACGGCAUGACACCUACCAGAUCUGAUGCCAGGCGAGAGCUGUUUAGGCUUACUACGCUUUGGCGACCCGUGGAUCAGCACAAUGUAUUUCGCCCAGGAGGACUGGAAGAACCAAUCCGCCAAGGGCACAACCGAGGUUCCU
rnacentral:misc_RNA from 1 species